UACAGAGGUCUCAAGCGUUGUUCGGAUUCAUUGGGCGUAAGGGGUGCGUAGGCGGCGUGGUAAGUCGGGUGUGAAAUCUCGGAGCUUAACUCCGAAACUGCAUUCGAUACUGCCGUGCUUGAGGACUGGAGAGGAGACUGGAAUUUACGGUGUAGCGGUGAAAUGCGUAGAUAUCGUAAGGAAGACCAGUGGCGAAGGCGGGUCUCUGGACAGUUCCUGACGCUGAGGCACGAAGGCCAGGGGAGCAAACGGG
rnacentral:rRNA from 1 species